ACUGGUUUUAAUCGUUUUGGCCGAUUUGAUCAGUUUAAAUGUUUUUUCACCCAUUUAGCCGAAAAUAUCGAAUUAAGUCAAUUGAUCACUGGUUUAACCGUUUUGAGUGAAUUAAUAAAAAAAAAGCCAAUCUGACCGAACAGCACCAGUUUGAAUUUCGAAGACAGGAUUAAUUUUUUUGUAUAGCUUCACAAAAACUGUUUACACUUAUGAACACCUACCUACAACUUACAAGUAAAAAUAUAAAGAAGAUGAAGCUCGAGUGUUUGACUUACGUGGCACCUAACGCAAUAUAAAUGCGAUGCAUUUCAAAGCUGCACAUUUCUAUUUGUUGUGAUGUAAUCUAAGAUUUGUCUAGAAAAUCACGUGCCGUUCUCUCGUCUAGCUUUAGAAACCGUGAGAAGGUAGGUAA